GCAUCAGUGGUGUAGUGGUAACAUACAACUCUUCCAUCUUAACUGAUAAGUUGUGCCAGGGGUUCGAUUCCCCUCUGACGCA